rnacentral:rRNA from 1 species
UACAGAGGUCCCAAGCGUUGUUCGGAUUCACUGGGCGUAAAGGGUGCGUAGGCGGUCGGGUAAGUCUGACGUGAAAUCUUCAAGCUCAACUUGGAAACUGCGUCGGAUACUAUUCGGCUAGAGGAAUGGAGGGGAGACUGGAAUACUUGGUGUAGCAGUGAAAUGCGUAGAUAUCUGGAGGAACACCGGUGGCGAAGGCGACAUCCUGGACCGGUAUUGACGCUGAGGCGCGAAAGCCAGGGGAGCAAACGGG